rnacentral:rRNA from 1 species
AUUGAACGCUGGCGGCAGGCCUAACACAUGCAAGUCGAACGAGUGGAGGACGGGUGAGUAAUGUCUGGGAAACUGCCUGACGGAGGGGGCUAACUAAUGGAAACGGUAGCUAAUACUGCAUAACAUGCGAUGUGCUCAGAUGGGAUUAGCUAGUUGGUGGGGUAACGGCUCACCAAGGCGACGAUGCCUAGCUGGUCGGAGAGGAUGACCGGCCACACUGGAACGGAGACACGGUCCAGACUCCUACGGGAGGCAGCAGUGGGGAAUAUUGCACAAGGGGCGCAAGCCUGAGGCAGCCAUGCCGCGUGUAUGAAGAAGGCCUUCGGAGUGUAAAGUUCUGUCAGCGGGGAGGCGUUACCCACCGAGGAAGCACCGGCUAACUCCGUGCCAGCAGCCGCGGUAAUUC